rnacentral:rRNA from 1 species
UACCGCGUGUGUGAAGAAGGCCUUAGGGUUGUAAAGCACUUUCAAUUGGGAGGAAAACCUACCGGUCAAUACCCGGUAGCUUGACAUUACCUUUAGAAGAAGCACCGGCUAACUCCGUGCCAGCAGCCGCGGUAAUACGGAGGGUGCGAGCGUUAAUCGGAAUUACUGGGCGUAAAGCGUGCGUAGGCGGUUCGUUAAGUCAGAUGUGAAAGCCCUGGGCUCAACCUGGGAACUGCAUUUGAAACUGGCGGACUAGAGUUUAGUAGAGGGGAGUGGAAUUUCAGGUGUAGCGGUGAAAUGCGUAGAUAUCUGAAGGAACACCAGUGGCGAAGGCGACUCCCUGGACUAGAACUGACGCUGAGGUACGAAAGCGUGGGUAGCAAACAGGAUUAGAUACCCUGGUAGUCCACGCCGUAAACGAUGUCGACUAGCCGUUGGGCCUAUAUACAGGUUUAGUGGCGCAGCUAACGCAUUAAGUCGACCGCCUGGGGAGUACGGCCGCAAGGUUAAAACUCAAAUGAAUUGACGGGGGCCCGCACAAGCGGUGGAGCAUGUGGUUUAAUUCGAUGCAACGCGAAGAACCUUACCUACCCUUGACAUCCAGAGAAUCUGUUAG